AUAUUUACCUGAAAGGAGAGAUACCAGGAUCAUGAAGGCGGCUUUCCCAUGGCGAGGCUUAUCUUUUGCAUUCCCGAUGUGCUGACACCUGCGAUUUCCCCAAAUGUGGGAAACUUGACUGCAUAAUUUGUGGUGGAGGGGCACUGCAUUUGCAAUCUCCUC
rnacentral:snRNA from 1 species